rnacentral:lncRNA from 1 species
GUGUCGGGUUGCUUUGCAACUGCAUGAUGGCCGCUGCCGCUAAGCUAGCCCUAAACAACUAGCGUUAGGUCAUACGUGCUAAAUUGUUUUUAAAAUUAGCUCAGGUACAACAUGUGCCGUUGUUGGUUGCCACAAAAUUCAUGAAACUUUACGUUUUUUUCAGAAAUGUCUGGUGUAGUACAUCAACCACUUAGACAAACUUGUCCGUGCCCUGCGCCCUACACGCCAUGCUGAGGAAGGAGAAACGGAGACUUGCGCGGCUCGUGGCUUUGACACUAAAAUAAAUAUUUGGGUUUAUGAAUAUCUUCCACAAUAUAGCUGCUGCAUGACUGUAUGACUUUCCUAACCCGACAAUGUCCAAGCAGCCGCCUGUCUCCACGACUUCACUUUCCUUCAGCAUUAUCCACGCUGAAUGUUUAGCUUGAUUGACACUCUGGCUGGGCGCUGCUGCUGCCUUCAGAAAUAACUCGCUGUGUUUCUUCAACAGUACUUUCCCUAUUUUGUUACUGAGCAGGUAGUUGUAUGCUUCUGUGCUUUUGUAACUGCGUAAUUUUCCGCCGUCAACACCUUCAGAAAAUAUAAGAUAAGCAUUAGCCCGACGUUAGCCACAUCGCUAACGUCGGGCUAAUGCUUCAUGUCAUCUGCCCACUCCGUGAGAACUGACGGGUGAGGCACUGUGAGAACUGUCCUCACAACUUAUUACAACAUCUGUUCUGUGUAUCCACCUCCGAUUUUUAUCCAUUCUGUCGCUUUCUUUGUGUUAAAAGCCGGUUUUUAGAGCGAGCAUGACAGCUACGUUAGCGUAAACACCGAGGUCAGCCAGUGCAACCGGAAGAGCAUAACCGAAUACCACUAUGAACCAUGGGUAAACUCACGAAGUCAGGAAUAAGGUGGAUACAAAAACAAAUCGCUCCUGAUAAGCAGGUCUCCUUUAACAGAAGACGUCUGACAGAGCUCCGCCCCUCAACACACUCACCUGUGAACAAACCAGGAAACAGUCUGUUCCUCUUCCUCAAUACAGAGACACACAGACAGAGACGAUCAACUUCACCAUCAGAACAAAGUCCAACAAGAAGAGCGUCUUCUGAGUGAGUUCAGCUAUAAGAGAGAAAAACUACACUCAGCAGCACUUCUUCACCCUGCAGACACUCACACACUGAAGGUGAGUUUGACUGAAACACAACUCAAAGUGAAAGUAAAGUUCAGUGCUGUUAUUAGAGGAGUGAGCAGAGACGUGACUGACUGGACUUUCUGUCUGCUGUGUUUU